AUGCCGAUUCAUCGCGGUUUCCUUGGGCCACCUCCGAGGACGGGGCUGGACCCGCUGGCCGUGGAGGGGGUCGGCUUCGGGCGCGUGUUCGUGUCCUGGGGCGUGGGGACAGCUCUCGUGCCUCCCUCGGGAGUCGGCCCAGCAUGGUCCCCGCUCACUGGUCCCUGUUUUGGGAAGGGGUGCCCGUGUUGGGAGAGGUGGGGUGCCUGCGCUCGGCCCCCUUCCGUGUCCCCACCCUCUCCACCCCGUCCGAGGGUGCUCCCGCCUGGUGGCCCAGCAGAGGGCGCCAGCUCCCGGCCGCCGCGCGGGUCGCAAGGGGAGGGGACGCGCGAGCCUCCAGGUAAGGAGCGAAGUGAAUCAUCCCGAACGGGGACCCGCUCCCCUCGCGGUGGGAACGAGGCGGGGCGUGGCCGCGGCACUGCUGAGAAGUCUGGGCCGCCGAGCCACUGUCGGCGGGAAGCGGCGAUCCUGCCACCGGUGCUGAAUUGCCUGGAUUGCAACUGUUUGGGAUUCAGGAGUCCAGAGACGGAUCAGCAUACCUCGAGAUACCACGAUUGCUUUGACUCUACUGCGAGCUGCUGGGGAGACCAUGAGACAGUUGGAGUGGAUGGCCUUGAGGACUUGAAAAGCUGA
rnacentral:lncRNA from 1 species